CGUGAGCCAGUCUCCGCUCCCCUCGACGCUUCAGGGCAAGCCGCAGCUGGGUGGGUCGAGGAGGAGCGGAGACCCCUGUGGGAGCCACUCCGGCACGAUUAACCCUCUUCUCCCUCUGCCUUUCCCCGCAGGUGUGGCCGCGCCGUCGAGGCUGGAGGCGCCGCGGGAGCAGCGAGGGCCGCAGGCAGAUUCCUCAGGACAGAUUUCUUCUGUAAGUCCUUUCAGAGGAGAUCUACUAAUGAAAAGUCCACAAUAACAGAUUGAAAGGGAUGAGAAAAUGGCAAGGACUACGAGGAACCAAACAGCAACUACUGGCUGUCUUCUUGUAGAAAACCUUUGCACUACUCAAGCAUCUCUACUCUAUUCUCCCUUUUCUUCAUGCCUCCUAAGAGAAUGUGGCACAGCCCCUGUUCUGGGACAGAAGGACGGACGUCCGAGGGACAUGGACAUCUCCUCUCAGCUUGGCCACGGUCCAUAUGAUGGAGCAAUGUAUUCAAGCUGUGGGUUGACUGAGGCUUGCAUCACUUCCAGUCAUCUGGAACCGACUACAUGCCUGAACUGAUAAAAGAGGCUGUGGAAAUAUGGAUCUCUGGGGCCUUGGCAAGGUGCUUGUGCCAUAUCCACCUGUCCUCUGGAAAACAGAAGAGAAAAGAGUGAGAAUCAGCAGUGUCAUUUAUUCUGCAAAAACGGAACAGAUGAAAACUGCCUUGACAGCCAAUAGAAGAAAAUAGUGUGAUAUGGCCACAGCAAACACAUGUUCUAUCAAACAAUUGCACAAUGAUCCCAACAAGGACUGGCACUCAGCUUCCCUGUGAUUACCUCUGUUCUUUUAUUUUGCUGUAACAAUAUAGUUUCUUUCCAACACACAAGUGUUUAUGCAAAAAUGCCAAGAUUCUCUAUGCAGAUUAAAAUAGGUUUACAAAUUAAGGAAAGGCUGGUAUGGAACAAGAGGAAAAUUAUCCCAGUAUUUUGCACCUUUUUGUAAUCAAAGUCCUGUCUUUGGAGGGUGUUACGUAAACUAAACACUAUAAACACUAUAAGGAUUUUCCUUGUGUAAUGACUUCAGGAGCUAGCCCUAGCAUAUCACACUAUUUUCAAAGUGGUGUCCAGUAAGCAAUAGGUGGGCUCACUUGGGAAAAAUGCAGGAAGAAAACUUGGUGAGAGGUGGAACCUCUGCAGUGUCACCUCUCAUGAGUGAUUGACAAAAGAAAAAAAAAAGGUGAACUAAUUCACCAUGGGGAUGGAAAGAUGGAUGCCUCCUGUUGUGGAAUAGGACAAAGUCCUGUGACAUGUUCCCUCCUAUUAGGUCUGAUACCACUGCUUUUGAUAAAGAUUAAUUUCUAAAAAUCAACUGUAAAGCUAUAGGUUAGCUAAUAAGACAGUGACUUGAUUAAUUUUUGAUUGCAAAGUGUAUGAUAGUUAAAUGUGUGCACAUCAGUGCAGACAGUGUGUUGUUGAAUGCAAUGAAGUUUGAAUCACACUAUGAAUUUGUUUUCCACAGGUAGAUUGUUAACAGAAGCCUUUGAUUUCUAUUAAUUAUGUAUUUUUGAGUGAAAAGCUAUUUUGUGUAUAUGUAUUUAAUAACAGGAAAUGUAGCAAACAUUUAUUUUUAUUAAACUAAUAAAAGGAAUAAAUCUAUCGCAGAAAAU
ensembl:lncRNA